CAGUCGCCACGGGAAUACGUAGGGUGCAAGCGUUAAUCGGAAUUACUGGGCGUAAAGCGUGCGCAGGCGGUUUGUUAAGACAGAUGUGAAAUCCCCGGGCUCAACCUGGGAACUGCAUUUGUGACUGGCAAGCUAGAGUGUGGCAGAGGGGGGUGGAAUUCCGCGUGUAGCAGUGAAAUGCGUAGAUAUGCGGAGGAACACCGAUGGCGAAGGCAGCCCCCUGGGCCAACACUGACGCUCAUGCGCGAAAGCGUGGGGAGCAAGCAGGAUUAGAUACCCGCGUAGUCCCUGUCUCUUAUAC
rnacentral:rRNA from 1 species